AGCUGGUUGAAGGUACAGUUGGAGCUGCUGGAGUUGCAGGUGGUGGUCAUUCCUCUGCUGUCCACCGCUGAUAACACUUGGGUCUGGUCUGGCCCCGAGUUACCCCAGGUCACUGAUGCCAUGUUAGUGCUGCACUGCAGAUUCACCAACACCCCAUCUGGCUUACAUGGGGCUGAGGGUAAAGAGGUGGAUGAAUAAGAGAGAUAACACUGUGGGUCGACUGACACAGGUACUGUUGAAAGACAUCACUUUCAGUGUGUAAUCGAGUCCACACUUCAGUGUGGUGAUCGUCAGCCCAGGCAUCGUGGUGGUGUAGGACAUGUUCCAGUUGCCGUUCGAGACCACAACUAUGUAGCCUUCUGCGUUACUCGUCGCAUUCCAGCUGAGAGUCAGUACUUGUGACUGGCAGUCUAAUUUGGCGUUCACGUUGGGCCCACAAGGAACUGGACAGAGAGAAGAGAGAAAGUUUUCUUAAUUUCAAAGGACACCCAAGCAGCUAUCAGUACAAUGACCCAGAAAAAGAAAAUUGAGCAGCCUCACAGUACCUGUCUCUAUGGCGACCAUCUCACUGUUAGAGCUGUUGCACACAAAGUUGGAGGCAAUGACGUACGCUGUGUAGUUGGUGCUGCACUUCAAGCCCUUGAUCUUACACGUCAAAUCCAUGGCGUUGCAGCUGUGAAUGACACCAUCACUGUCCAUUGCCAUGGCGACGUAGAAAAUUGCACCGCCGGACAUUAACCAGGUCAUUGUGAUGGAGUCACCUCCACAUUCCUUCACUGCUGAUACGUUCUGGGGAACGCAUGGGACUAGAGGAGAAGGGACAAAUCAAACAUGAGAAUAAAUUCUACCUUUAAACCUUUUCACAGCUGCACAUGGUCAGAGUUGAGUUUGCCAGUCCAUCCCGACUCACAAUCAUACGUGAUUGAUGGCUUACACUUUCUUCUCCUCACUUGUCUCAGCCACAGGCCCCAGCAUCCUCGGACUGGCACAUUUGUCGUCAAAAGCUGUGAUGUAGAUGCUCAAGACCUCUCCACACUGGACGCCCUCUAUUGCGCAGCUGUUGGACAUUGAGCUGCAGUUGUAGUAGCUGUUGUUUCCCGUGUUGCCGAAGGCCUCCACAGUAUAACGUAGAGCACCCUCAGCGAGGUCCCACUUGCUGAGCAGAACAUCUGAGUUGCAGUCGGCUGAGGUUUGCAUAUUCUGGGGAAUACAAGGUGCUGGAGACAGUAAAAGUGAUUUUGAUUAAUCUUUAGUUGUUUUUUUUUGCCAAUUUAUAAAAGACAAUAACUCAAAAUUGCCACCUAAAAAAAGAGCGAAACAUUUUUUUGUCGUUUUGAAAGUUUUAGAGAAUCCAUCAGAGGGCGCUCACAUGAGAAUGAACUGUCACAGAGCUCAGUUCAGCUACUCACUAAUGUUUUAAAUUGUGUUGUGCAAAACUCUCAAGAACUAUAAAUUAUGGAAAUUGAUUUGCUAUAUAACCAGGGUUCAAAAUUAACGUUUUUCAUUCACCAGCCAAAUGUUCAUUAGAUGUCCAUUGUUUUUUUGGCUUGUGAGUGAAGACAAUCUACCAGCCACUUGCAUAUUUUAGCAGCGUUUGGCUGGUGGAUGGUGCUCAUUUUGAACCCUGAUUGUAACCCUUUGUCAAAUGGUUGCACAAUUUAAAAGAAAAAGAGUGAUUUUACGUUUUAUUUUAAUACUUUUUUGGGAGUUGAGGAGAUAAAAUUAUCAAAUUAUUUUUCUUGAUAAAGCAAAUUAAGAAAAAGAUACAUAAAGUUAUGUUUUGUUAUACAAACUUGUAUGUGUAUGUGUGUAUCUACUGCUGUAGAGAUAAUGUAGUCAUACCGGUGCGCAUGUCAACAGUAGAGCUAAUCUGGCUUCUGCACUGCCCUGCCAUGGAGUAGACUGUGAAGUAAUAGUGUCGUCCACACACUGGUUGUGUGAAAUAGCAGGAGUUUUCUUCAGUCAGACACUCCUGGACCACUCCCUACAGAGAAAUCACAAAGUAUUCCCUAUGUAAUUAAAUUACAGACAGGUAUUAUUCAAUGUUUUGGGACAUAUGCUCAUUUGCUUU